AAGUCGUAACAAGGUUUCCGUAGGUGAACCUGCGGAAGGAUCAUUAAUAACAUAGCAAACCGAGCGUUAGCGAGGUUCUGCGAUCAAAAAUUGUAUUUAAAACCCAACUCUUUGAACCAAUAUAUUUUUAUGUUUAACUUAAAUAAUAAAAGAUCACUUUCAACAACGGAUCUCUUGGCUCUC
rnacentral:misc_RNA from 1 species